rnacentral:rRNA from 1 species
GUGGGGUAAAGGCCUACCAAGCCGACGAUCUGUAGCUGGUCUGAGAGGACGACCAGCCACACUGGGACUGAGACACGGCCCAGACUCCUACGGGAGGCAGCAGUGGGGAAUUUUGGACAAUGGGCGCAAGCCUGAUCCAGCCAUUCCGCGUGCAGGACGAAGGCCUUCGGGUUGUAAACUGCUUUUGUACGGAACGAAAAGGCUCUGGCUAAUACCUGGGGCUCAUGACGGUACCGUAAGAAUAAGCACCGGCUAACUACGUGCCAGCAGCCGCGGUAAUACGUAGGGUGCAAGCGUUAAUCGGAAUUACUGGGCGUAAAGGGUCUGUAGGCGGAUAAUUAAGUCGGAUGUGAAAUCCCCGGGCUCAACCUGGGAACUGCAUUCGAUACUGGUUGUCUAGAGUAUGCAAGAGGAUGGGGGAAUUCUUUGGUGUA